GUACUCUUUUCAGCAGCACAUAUACUAAAAUUGGAACAGUACAGAGAUUAGCAUGGCUCCUGUGCAAGGAUGACAUGCAGAUUCAUGAAGCACUCCAUAUUUUU